AUCGCCCGGGAACUACGAGCAAAGCUUAAAACCCAAAGGACUUGACGGUACCCCACAUCCACCUAGAGGAGCCUGUCCUAUAAUCGAUAACCCCCGCUUAACCUCACCAUUUUUAGCCUAUCAGCCUGUAUACCUCCGUCGCCAGCUUACCACGUGAGCGACCCUCAGUGAGCUUAAUGUUUAUACACCAACACGUCAGGUCAAGGUGCAGCAGAUAAAAUGGGAAGAGAUGGGCUACACUCUCUAUUCUAGAAAAUACGGAAGACUAUUUAUGAAACCUAGUCAAAAGGCGGAUUUAGUAGUAAAAAGAGACAAGAGUGCUCUUUUUAACAUGGCACUGGGGUGUGUACAC
rnacentral:rRNA from 1 species